UCUUUAUAUUAAAUUUGCGCUAUUUUCAGACAAGUAUGAUGUCAUGAACGUUAAUUGUAAAUCUAUAAUUAGAUUUAAAGAUGUCGCGGUAGAUUUUAAUAGUGUAAAAAGAAACAAUCUUAUAAUUUUAGUUUAUUUCGAUGAUAUCUAAAAGCAAUUUACACAGGACAGUAUAUUCGAAAGGAAAACUCUAUUUGACAAAGUGUCUAAAAACGCGAAUGAUUUGUGGUUAUAGUAUUAUAGUGGUGACACAGACUGCUGCUAUUUCGUUACAAUGGGAAGAGGUUAUACGAAUUCUCGCGGCGAAACGGAACUCGUUGAGAACCCUACGUCGCCUGUGUGACAGGUGUGUCUGAUAGCGAUAUCUCGAAGUCGUAUUAUAUAAUACACGGUAUCCUACGACCUUACGUUGUAACCUCGCAGUCCGAUUUCUGAAGUGAUCCUGAGAUAAAAAUGUUAUAUUCUGAAAAUGGAUCUAAUUUCAACUGCAUUCGUAUAAGAUUUUUGAUUCGCAAUCAGAAAUCAGAUCACGAAGUUGUGACAUGAUGUCGCGGAACACUGUGUAACGGAGGUGUCUCGUGGCGGUUUCGUCGAGCCCUUCUCUUGACGUGACAGCUCGCAAAUGCACGUCCAUAUGGUCGUCCAACACGACCGCGCAUCUCGUUGCAUUAUUUCGGUUACGCCGAUUCAUCACGUUCUGACGCAUCGCCGGUGACUGCUGCACUAUGACGGAUGUCAUCCAGACACUGUCUUUCGUUCUUCGAUCUAUUACUGCGCACGAUAAUGAACGACUGAUGCAUUAUCGUUAUAAAGCCUCGAGUCGGGACCGAUAAAAAUCGGCUUGGAUGACGCCAUCGGAAGGACUCUUGCUUCUAUUUCUCAUUGGCUUUAUGGCACAAUCUCGUUUAUUCACGUUUAUUUCUCUGGCUCUUUACUUAUUUACUAAACAAGCUUUUACCCAUUUAAUUCUUAACAAAUGUUUCAACUUUUUAUCUAAAAAUUAUAUGAUGAUUAUAAAUGUAAUUGAUAGCGUGCUUUAGGAAAAGAUUAAUAAGCAAUAAAAACAAUUGGAAAACGUA